rnacentral:rRNA from 1 species
UACGUAUGGGGCAAGCGUUAUCCGGAAUUAUUGGGCGUAAAGAGUGCGUAGGUGGUUACCUAAGCGCAAGGUUUAAUCUUGAGGCUCAACCUCAUUCUGCCUUGCGAACUGGGCUACUUGAGUGCAGGAGGGGAAAGCGGAAUUCCCAGUGUAGCGGUGAAAUGCGUAGAUAUUGGGAAGAACACCGGUGGCGAAGGCGGCUUUCUGGCUGACAACUGACGCUGAGGCGCGAAAGCGUGGGGAGCAAACAGGAUUAGAUACCCGCGUAGU